rnacentral:rRNA from 1 species
AUUGAACGCUGGCGGCAGGCCUAACACAUGCAAGUCGAGCGAGCGGCGGACGGGUGAGUAAUGUCUGGGAAACUGCCUGAUGGAGGGGGAUAACAACUGGAAACGGUAGCUAAUACCGCAUACCCUCAGAUGUGCCCAGAUGGGAUUAGCUGGUAGGUGGGGUAACGGCUAACCUAGUCGACGAUCCCUAGCUGGUCUGAGAGGAUGACCAGCCACACUGGAACUGAGACAGGGUCCAGACUCCUACGGGAGGCAGCAGUGGGGAAUAUUGCACAAUGGGCGCGAGCCUGAUGCAGCCAAUCCGCGUGUGUGAAGAAGGCCUGCGCGUUGUAAAGCACUUUCAGCGGGGAGGCGUUACCCGCAGAAGAAGCACCGGCUAACUCCGUGCCAGCAGCCGCGGUAAUUC